rnacentral:rRNA from 1 species
AUUGAACGCUGGCGGCAGGCCUAACACAUGCAAGUCGAACGAGUGGCGGACGGGUGUGUAAUGUCUGGGAAACUCCCCGCGGGAGGGGGAUAACUACUGGACAGUGUAGCAAAUCCCGUAUACCCUCGGCUGCGCCCAGAUGGGAUUAGCUAGUAGGUGGGGUAACGGCUCACCUAGGCGACGAUCCCUAGCUGGUCUGAGGGGAUGACCAGCCACACUGGAACUGAGACACGGUCCAGACUCCUACGGGAGGCAGCAGUGGGGAAUAUUGCACAAUGGGCGCAAGCCUGAUGCAGCCAUGCCGCGUGUAUGAAGAAGGCCUUCGGGUUGUAAAGUACUUUCAGCGAGGAGGCGUUACUCGCAGAAGAAGCACCGGCUAACUCCGUGCCAGCAGCCGCGGUAAUAC